AAAGCAUGAUUAUCAAGAUAAUUAGUACAUGUCAAUAUUUUACUUAACUCACUAAUGAAGAAAACAGAAAACAGAGAAAAUAGUUUGACGAGGAUAUGAGAAACUGAGAUGGAAACGUCAGGGGGAACAGGGAUGCUGAAAUCACAUUGCCGAGUUAGACAUGGAACAGGAUCAUAUCCCACAAGGCAAUAAAACCAUAACCUUUGGGUUCGUCUUCUUUACCAGAUUGGGGGUGGGGGGAGGGGAAUCGUACCUUGCAAGUUUUACAAGUUAACAUCUAACUUUACGGAGUUAGGAGACAUCUGGGCCCGAAUCAGUGCUCAAAGUGAUAUUUCUUGAGAGCUACAACUCAGGUGAGUCUGUUAGAAAAUUCUCUAAUACGAUGUUAAAAUAUCCCUUACUUAUCUUUUCAUUUUGUCCAGUCCGGGUAAUUUUUUCUGUGUGACACGUGCUACACUCACGACUACAUUUAGUAUGGAAAAAUAAAGGCUACAGACCCACACACGAUUCCAUCCUGGAGUGACGGUACAUAAAACUCCACUCUUCCCUCCGUUCCUCUCCAUGUCCCGGGGCCUCGCACCAAUGAAUACAAGUCCAGUGUUUAACGUGGUAAAUGUUUCAAACAGAAGGUCACACAAAUGCAAGCCAACUAUUUCACGUGGUGUUCGUCCAAAAAAACACAAUUUGUUCCAAUCCUGGGGGAAAAAAUGACUAACAUCUGGUCCUAAAUUGGAGCCCUGCUAAGGAUGUCUAAGGCUAACUUUUCCCGUUUAAAUUUUGGCAUUCAUGCUGAAUUUAGAAUCUAGACAAACCACCAAGAGACCCUUCUGUAAUACUGAUUUUUUAAUUGAAAAAAAAAUUUUUUUUUUGGAAGAGGUCCGUACAUACUCUACAGCUUUCAAAAAGUACAGUGAGGUUGCAGUAGGCAACUAUUGGGCCCGGAUCCCUGCUUCUAAUCUCGCUCCUUCCCCCGCUGCUCUGGAGGUUGAUUGCUAAUUGCUCAGAGCUGCUCCUUUCCUAGACCAUUGCCUUUAGCCAAUAACAGCCUCCCGAGAGGAUCCUCCCUCCUCCAGAGGCAGCUCACAGCCAAGGAUUGACGGAUAAAGGUACCAAGACCCGGGCCCUUUGUUUCAAGGUCGUAAAAGACAUUGCGACUUUAUCUGUGUCCUUGGUCACUCAACCUUGAAGGAUGUCUGCUGCUUUGUCAUAAAGACAGCCAGGCAGCCCUGUGGAGAAAUUCAGGAGACGAGGAACUUUGGCCAACAGCCAUGUGAAGGAGAGCCUCCAACACCGGUCAAGUCUCCGGAUGAUGAUGCAGCCUGGCUGACGUCUUGCGGCUUCAUGCAAGAGCCUGAGCCAAAACCCUCCAGCUAAGCCAAUCUCAAAUUCCUGGCCCACCAGAACCUUUAUAACAUAUACAUCGCAAAUGCACCACGUACUCAUCUUAAGUGCACAGCUUGCUGAAUCGUUACCUAUGCAUUCUCUGCUCUAAUCACCAUUCAGAUCAGGAAGCAGAAUGUUCCCUCCUACUCGAUACCCACUGACUCCCAUUCUUUGUGAUAACUUCCAUUACCAUUGGAUUAUCUAUCUGGGAGACAACAGAAGACAGACAUCCUAGGUUUUAAUCAUGGAUCUGAAAUCAUGAGCAAGCCUGGAGAUUUAGCUUCUGAGCCUCAGCUUUCUUGUCUCUAAAAUGGGGAUUCAAUACCUUCCAUACAGGAGUUCUUGGAGGAUUAAAAGACAGAAGUCAAGCUGAGCUCUUCAGGCAACAGCCUUUGUGAAGCCCAUUUCUCAUUGGACCAGGCCUUCUUCCUACAUGAGCUGCUUUUUGUGUUUCCUGUUGUCUUUCUGAUAACUUGGGUAUUGGCAGGGAUCUGUCUGCCAAGUUUCCUAAACUGUGUACUCAGGCAUCUCAGGGUACAGCAGCAAACCCACCUAGAGCAGUCCAGGACAAUUUUAUUUUAUGUUUAUUUAUUAUUUUUGAGAGAGAGAGACAGAGCACGAGUGGGGGAGGAGCAGAGAGGGAGACACAGAAUCCAAAGCAGGCUCCAGGCUCUGAGCUGUCAGCACAGAGC